AAGUUCAACAGUUAAGAUCACAUUGAGUAGUUAACGAAGUGGGAAAUUAUGAUAUGAAAAGACACAAUUAUGAUAUGAAAAGACAUAAUUGUUGAUUGCUAGAUUAUAUUCACUGUCUACUUGCAAUUUGCACUUCCAAAGGAAAUUUGGCCAGGUAUGUUCAGCAUUUGGGACUGAACCCUUUCAUCUAAAUCUUUUAAAUAACAUGCUGAAUCAUAUACAUGCCAAACAGAAAAAUACCAUCGGAGUGAUUCUGCAAAUGCAAAUUUCACUGAUUAGGCUAUUAUGCGUGACAGUGAAUAUUUGCUUUGAGGACUUCUUCCCAACUCCCUAUAGGCAGCCAUGAAAGCCAUGUUCAUUACCACAAACUACAUCUAUUACUAUAUACUACACAUAUAUAUAUAUAUAUAUAUAUAUAUAUAUAUACACAUACACACACUAUGGGCUCUGAUUAUGGAGCCAUUUGGACUUUCAUCAGUCUCACAAUCUGACAUGAUUGAGCUCAGCAUUUGUGCAGAGCUGCUCUUAAUUAAGUCCAUCUGUCUGGCAUCUUCUCUCCAUCCUUCCCUUCCUUUUGUUACACAGAUGGAUAUAGAGGGAUUCUCUCAUCUUUCAGUUUCCUCUGAACACACAUUUGGCAUGAAUAUUUACAGAAAAUUAGUCAUUUGCCUUCAGUGAACAUACUGUAUGGUCCACUGCAUUAGUGCUGUUGCGUUUGGCCCAACGUUUGGCCCUGCAACUGUUGUAAAGCAGCAUACAAGUGAUUCUGCUGGGUUAGGUCUGCACAGAAGCACUUCAAAUCUCCAAAUAUGCCCAAAACAUUUUUAAUUCCACCACCAAAGCGAGACCUUGGUGAAGCAAAGAAAUCCACCGACUUCCAGAGAUGAAUCCACUCUUUGAAAAGCCGGAAACAUAUCUGUCUUUGUUUUUUGCUCUUCUGUAACAUUUGCUGUGAAACUCCAAGGUCGGUUAUCAUAAUACAGAAGGCUUGAUCCACAAAGUAAUUCAACACACCUGUUAUGCAGCUGAGCCAGAGCCCUCAUUUGAGAAUAAUGCAAAUGCACAGAGCCAGAAGUGAACAAUGAGCAAAUAAACAGAUCUAAAAGAGUGUCCGCUUUUGAAACCAAAACUCGCAUAUGAAAACAACUGCAAGACUUUCAGUGGUGCAAUUAUGAUUUUGACUCUCAACUAAGAUGUUAUGAAAGAGGAUCCAGGCCUAUAUCUACCUAACAGAGCUUGUUUUGGAUGACUUCUCAUAUGAAAUCAAUGACUAAAAGAAUUUGUACUCAGCAUAGCAAGCAAAUUCAAAUGUAAAUGUCCUGUUUUAAAGAGACUAUGCCUUCAUUUACUUACAAAUAGCUAUAUUAAGUUUACCAUUCAUUUGAAAUAUGAUCCAAUGUACUCUACCAUUCAAAAGUUUGGGGUCUGUAAGAUUUUGUUUUUUUUAAAAAGAAAAAAAAAAACCUGAUACUUUUAUUCAGCAAGGAUGCAUUAAACUAAUCAAAAGUGACAGUAAAGACAAUAAAAAUGUUACAAAAUAUUUAUUUUUUUAAAUAAAUGUUGCUCUUUGCACAUUCUAUUCAUGAAGAAUCAUGAAAAAAAAAAAUCAUGGUUUCAAAAAAAAUAUUACAAACUGUUUUCAGCACUGAUAAGACAUUCUUGAUCAUCAAAUCAGCAUAUUAGAAUGAUUUCUCAAAAAGAUAUUUAAGCUAAUUUUUAAGAUUUACAAAUUUCAAUUGCAUAACUGUUCCAUCCGAUUGCAUUACCCCUUGUUCCAUUCCCUAGUUCCUUUAAGUUUUAUACAAAUAUCUUUUAUUAAGCUCUUUUUUUACUUUACUUAUGUAAAAUUGUUAAUUCAUAAUAUGAAUAAUAUGUAAGGAUUAUUCAAUUCAAUUUGAUGGAAUUUUUCAAUACAAUUUAAAUUGGUGCACCACUCAAUUUUCAGCAGUUGUUACUCCAGUCUUCAGCUUUGCCAUCACAGGACAAUAUUACAACAUUACUGAUUUUACGGCAUUUUUAAUUCAAUAACAUUAAAGUGCCCCAUUAUGCUUUUUCAGAUAUUACCUUUCAUCUAGUGUAUAAUAUAGCUGUUUGUGAAUGUAAAAGGUCUGCAAAGAUAAAAGCGCACGAUAAAUAAAAUUGUUGUCUCGAUAAAAGAAUCGAUUCUGAACUGAAACGAGUCAUCAAUAAUUCCAGUCUUACUUCCGUAAUUACAUAAGUAACAAUGUAACAAAUUUGCAUACUACCCACCUAUGGUCUUCAUUGGCUGUCCAUGAACAUCAUCUACUUUGACCCGCCCUCACCUCAAACACUGUAGCUGGUUUUUGUUGUGUACAUGUUGAGAAGAUGCUGUUUUCACUCAGCAAAAGCAAAUAGAAAAAAGUAAAUACUUCCAAAGGAUGGGGAUUUGAAGAGUCAGUGGUUAAAAUUACCACAGCAGUAUAACCUUUUGACAAAUGCUUCUCAAAUCUCUGUCUAGAUAUACAUGGGAUUUACAAAACGCUUAUCCAUUAAAGAUGGAACAGUACCCACUUUAUUUAGACCACCCUACUCUUCAAAAUCACAACCAGUAAGUAUGAUUAAGUAUUGAAGUAUAUAUUUUCUACCGGGUGUUCAAAAUACAUAGUUUAUAUUGUGUAGGUCUCUGGCUAACCAGCUAAUUAACGUUAUUACUGUCAUACUGAAAUACUUCUGCUAAUCAGCUGUGGGCCACUAUUACCUAAAAUUGUGUCCUUUAGUGCAGAUUGUCUGCUGUUCUUACUACUUUGAGUAAUGAUAAGGGUGGAGUAGGUUUUGUUUUACAAACUUUAAUGUUACAUCAGUCAUUCACAUUACUGCUCGGCUAAUGUAUGCACUGUUAUUGAUACAGUUAUUGAUGCAGUUCUCACAUGUGCACAGCAAUAAAUCAGAAAUAUACACAUCGGUUUGUUGAUGGACAUACUGUACACUUGUUAAUGCUGACGGUGAAGAAUUACAGUUGCAACAUCUCAUAAUGUACGACAAACUAAGUAGUGUUUCACUGAGAAACCCUGAUCAAGUCGUCCUUGCGAUGGGAGGUUCAGGGUCGAAUAACUAGCUCUUCCAAUUUGUCAUCAUUGGACUCGCGCUCGAAUUCAUAUAGUAACAUUGUUACUGUCUUUUACAGUGUGUACAAUCGCUGAGGAUUUAGAAAGCCUCCUGAGCUUAAGUAUAGUUAUGGUAAUGGGUGUUUCAUUUCCGACAUGCUCUAAUUGGUAGACCAGUCACAACAGACAGGGCUGUCUGACCAAUCAGAGCAGAGUAGGCUCUUGGAAAGGAGGGGUUUAGAGAGACUGAAUCUACGGAAAUGUUGUAUGAGAAUCUUUGAAAAAUGUGGUGAUGUGCAAUGUGUAAUAUGAGAAAAUCAAAGUGUUUUUUGACAUUCGAUGCAUGUAAACCUGUUGUAGGAGACCUCAAAAGAAAAUUAGGAACUUUUAAAAUAGCACAGUUUAAGGCACUUUAAAAAAAAUCUUACAAACCCCACACUUUUGAUCGGUAGUGCACAUUUAUGCAUUCAGUUUUAUGUAGUCAAAGAGAAAAAUAUUAUGCAUGCUUUUCGGCACCACAUCAAUUUUGUGCAUUAUGCAUCAGGUCAGAGAAGGGGGUACACAUCAUCCUUUUUAAUGCUGUGUCCGGAGCACUCAAAUGAUGCAUCCCAAGGCUGAGAUCCUAGGUUCAAAUAACAGCUAUCUGCAGGGACACCUCUGGCUGUGUUUUAGUAAUGCUGAGCCAAUAAUGGGUAACCUCUCCUCAAUCACCUCCACCGUUGUCAUAGUGAGGUCACACCUGUGGGUACCAAAAUAAUCUGAGGGAAAGAGCUCAGCAGCACCUGUGAAAGGAUGCGUACUCUUGAUGUCAUGUGAUACUGGGGGAGCAGCAUCAAUGUUUUCAAAGUCAUGGACUGUGUAAGUGGAAGGUAGGAGGUGACAGAGGGCAUAUGCAAACAAAAUGCUUAGUUUUGCCAUUCAUUUAAUUCUGCCUCACCUUAAUAUAACAUUAAAACCGAGCAUGUAUUUCUAACAGGGAAAAUGCUGCAGUGAAAGUUAACAUUUUGAACUUGAGCUUCAUAACAGACUGGUUCAGCUGACGUAAGUCCAAAAUGGGACGCAACCCCCCAUCCUUCUUUGGAACAAUAAAGUAACGGCUGUAAAACCCGGUUUCUCUGUCGGGAGGGAGUACAUGUUCUAUGGCUCCCUUCCCCAGCAGAGUUUUUACUUCUUGCUCCAUGACCAGAGCCUGCUCGGGGCCCACCACUGUGGCUAGGACCCCCAUAAACCUGGGCGGGCGAGACCCGAACUGAAUGGCAUAACCCUUUUCGACUGUACGCAGGACCCAUUGAGAAAUAUUUGGCAAUAGCUUCCACGCUGUCAGAUAUUCUACUAAGGGAACCAGUCUCUCGAGACUGGCUUCUGGUGUGUUUUGAACAACCAAUUCGUGCCCUGAAGCGGCGAACCAGCAGGGAACAACCGAACCGAAUGUUCUGAGACCCUCUUCAGAGGUAGUUUCCGGGUGGACACUGGGAUGUUUGCUCGCUGGAGACCGCUGUGCCCUGAAGCACACGAGGUGGCAGGGUUGGCAGAACGGCCCCCUGAGGGCACCGAAGAGAACUGGGCACUGUAUAAUGAGGUGUUAACCAUUUCUCUUCGAGGGGAGUUUGGGUGGCGAUGCUCUGUUUCUGAGUGGCAUGGUGUUGCAAAGAGCUGGAUUUAGAUGUUUGGGGCUGCUCCCUCUCAGCAGCCCAAGGGAUGUGAAAGCGACGGGGGAGGAGCUUCUGGAACGCCGCCACCUGCUUAUUGGCUUCCUGGAACCUCUCGACGACAGUGUUUACUGCGUCGCCAAAGAGGCCAGGGGGCGCAAGCGGGGCGUCCAUGAGGAAGUUCUUAUCUUUGUCUUUUAUUGCACUCAAAUUCAACCACAAGUGCCUCUCCGUGGCCACCAGGGCUGCCAUAGCACGACCAACAGAUCUGGCCGUCUCCUUGGUGGCCCGGAGAGAUAAAUCAGCAGCCCGACGUAGCUCAUCGACCACGUCUGGGCUAAUUCCCCCACCCUCUUCAACAUCUCCUAAUAAAUCCGCCUGGUAGGCUUGCAGCACGCCCAUAGUGUGGAGACAUGCUGCAGCCUGACCAGACGCCUGAUAAGCUUUGCCCACCAAAGUCGAGGUGACUCUGACUGGCUUAGUGGCCAGUGUCGGGGCCUUUAGGGACGAUGCUGACUGUGGAGAGAGAUAACUCGCAAGUGUCUCUUCCACUUUAGGCAUCGCCCCAUAACCGUGCUCUUUAAGGCCCACUAUCGAUGCAUAGUGCGUGGUCUGAGCACUAUGCACACGAUAGGAGGCUGGUUUCUUCCAUGAUCUCGACACCUCAGUGUGGAGAUCUGGAAAAAACGCUAAACUGCAGCGACAGACCCACAACAACGACCUCCGGAGAUGGAAACGGGGAUCCGGAGGGCACAGGUGGAGCUGGAGUUACCAAGGGCAGAGGCGGCGCCUGAGGGAGGGUGGAGCUAGCCAAAGCCAAAGGGGAUGAGGGCCGGAGAACAGCGAACGGCUCGCAAGUCCGCAGCAAAGGCGUGGCGGUGUCCACUCCAGGUGGAGCCAACGGUCUGAGGGAGCCCAGCGAGGCAGAAUGCCCAACAGAGGGAGGAAGGAGUGCAGGCGCAGGAGCCAGGGUGACGGGACGAGAUGGAGCGGAGCAUUGAGAGGCUUGAGGCAGAGCCACGGGCUCUCUUCACGCUCAGGAGAAGGUGGCUCCCAGCAGGCCCAAGGUGUAACCCCAUGACUGGGUUGCAGGAGUGGCUGAGGACUGAGGAGAAGAAUAGACAACAGCACAGAAACCAAUGAAAAACAAUAAAUUCUUAAUGGCAGUUUGAAAAGGUGGUGGGAGAGGGAGUUGGGCACUGAGUUGGGAGUGGGACUGGCGUCAUCUUCACCCAGGCCUACGGUGAAUACUGAUCCGAAUACUUUGGUGGCUGUGUUGAGGCUGGCGUGCAAAACGCGCACAGACACUUAUCUGGGAAGGGUGACUGAUAAGCGAGGUCAAAAAACUCUUCCAAAUGUUCCUCGAGGGAGCAUCCUUCUUGUUUAAGGCAAAGCAGGCAGACAGCGGGAAUGUCCAUUGAGAUGAAAAAAAAACAAAAAAAAAAAAAAUCAAAAAGUCCAAAAAAAACAACAAAAAAAAACCCCACAUGCACUCACAAAACAGGAAAAACAAAAGUUUCGCCACUUGUCACAUUUGCAGGUCGGGUAUUCUGUCACAGUUCUAAGGUUGUAUCAAACAUGCACAACGAUGAAGAUGAAGAUAAAUCCAAACAGGCUUUAAUAAAUCCACAAUAUGAUCCAAACAGAGAGAUAAGCAUCAACAACCAAAGAGUAGACACAAACAAUACCCGACAAUUAAGGAGAGAAUGGCAUGCAUAAAUACUGCCGAUAAUGAGGUGUGCACAGCUAAUUUUUUCUUUUUUCUAAUUUUAUUUUUUCUGGACGAGUCAGAGCGAACUACAGUGCUAACAGAGUCUCACAAACGAGCAAGUAGCACAGAAGACCAACAGCCAAAGUCAGGAUUUUCGUUAAAUAAUACAUUAAAUUUCAGUUUGUUUUUCACCAAACCAUAUUGUAUACCCCCAGAAAACUUGGAAUAUACAACACGUGUCGCAUUGGACCAUUUUGUGAUUCCUUUUUUUCUCUCUUUUUUUUUUUUUUUUUCAAAGCCUGAUGCUGGUCACUAUUUACUGCCACUAUGUGGAUAUUUACUGCCCUUUUUUUUCUUUUUUUUUUCUUUUUUUUUUAUUAUUAAAUGGAUUAUUAAAUGGAUUGUUGCUGCU